GGAGCACCCUUUGGGGUGUGACUGCGUACCUUUUGUAUAAUGGGUCAGCGACUUAUAUUCUGUAGCAAGGUUAACCGCAUAGGGGAGCCGUAGGGAAACCGAGUCUUAACCGGGCGUUAAGUUGCAGGGUAUAGACCCGAAACCCGGUGAUCUAGCCAUGGGCAGGUUGAAGGUUGGGUAACACUAACUGGAGGACCGAACCGACUAAUGUUGAAAA
rnacentral:rRNA from 1 species